UUUCCGUAGGUGAACCUGCGGAAGGAUCAUUAUUGAAUAAACUUGGUUAGGUUGUUGCUGGUCCUUAGGGGCAUGUGCACGCCGAAUCCAUUUUUAGCCACCUGUGCACCUUGCGUAGAUCUGAUAAUCUCGAGGAAACUCGGUUUGAGAAUUGCUGUGCAAACGGCUCUUCUUGUAAUCAGGUCUAUGUUUCUAUAUACCCCACACGAAUGUAUCAUGAAUGUCGUAAAUGGCCUUUGUGCUUUUAAAAACAAAUACAACUUUCAACAACGGAUCUCUUGGCUCUC
rnacentral:misc_RNA from 1 species